CAACCAUCAAGCCCUGCUUGUGUUGGGGUCCUGCGGCUGCCCGCAGGCCCUGAAAACCAGUGGCGGGCUCGCUAGUCACACCGAGCGCAGUAGCACAUCUCGCUCAGGGCGUGCGGCGGGUUCUUGCCGUUAAACACCCCCCCCCCUUCCAAA
rnacentral:misc_RNA from 1 species